rnacentral:lncRNA from 1 species
GCGUGUUGAUACUUCUUAUGACUAGUGGUGGGAUUCCGCAGGCACAUAAAACUAUCGUGUAGCACUUUGCUCGAUGAGUACCGAGUGUCAGAUUUAUAUUUAUCCCAAAGAAAGGUAGAAGGAUGAGUUUGGCUUGGUGGAUAGAAAUGCUGAAGUGACUUAAUUAUCUAAGGGAUGGUAGUUAUUUUUUGUUUUGUUUUCUAUGGUGUUUGUGUGGGGGGUUGUUUUGUUUAAGGAGUCCAGCGGGAGCUCGCCGGCGCGGUUGCAGAUUGGUACCAUGGUGUCUGCAUCUUUUUUAUUUUAGAAAUCGUGGUCUCCGCCAUCUCUAUCAAACUUGAAAGGCUGUCUGCGCAAAUGGAUUC